rnacentral:rRNA from 1 species
AUUGAACGCUGGCGGCAUGCCUUACACAUGCAAGUCGAACGGUAACAGGUCUUCGGAUGCUGACGAGUGGCGAACGGGUGAGUAAUACAUCGGAACGUGCCUAGUAGUGGGGGAUAACUACUCGAAAGGGUGGCUAAUACCGCAUGAGAUCUACGGAUGAAAGCAGGGGAUCGCAAGACCUUGUGCUACUAGAGCGGCCGAUGGCAGAUUAGGUAGUUGGUGGGAUAAAAGCUUCCCAAGCCGACGAUCUGUAGCUGGUCUGAGAGGACGAUCAGCCACACUGGGACUGAGAAACGGCCCAGACUCCUACGGGAGGCAGCAGUGGGGAAUUUUGGACAAUGGGCGCAAGCCUGAUCCAGCAAUGCCGCGCGCAGGAUGAAGGCCUUCGGGUUGUAAACUGCUUUUGUACGGAACGAAAAGCCCCGGGUUAAUACCCUGGGGUCAUGACGGUACCGUAAGAAUAAGCACCGGCUAACUACGUGCCAGCAGCCGCCGUAA